GGAGGGAUGGCAGAGCGGACGAAUGCGAGGCACUUGAAAUGCCUUGGGUCAAAGCCCCGUGGGUUCGAAUCCCACUCCCUCCG
rnacentral:tRNA from 1 species